rnacentral:rRNA from 1 species
UAAUACAGAGGGGGCAAGCGUUGUUCGGAAUUACUGGGCGUAAAGGGCUCGUAGGCGGCCAACUAAGUCCGACGUGAAAUCCCAAAGCUUAACUUUGGAACUGCGUCGGAUACUGGAUGGCUUGAAUUCGGGAGAGGGAUGCAGAAUUCCAGGUGUAGCGGUGAAAUGCGUAGAUAUCUGGAGGAAUACCGGUGGCGAAGGCGGCAUCCUGGACCGACAUUGACGCUGAGGAGCGAAAGCUAGGGGAGCAAACGGGAUUAGAUACCCCGGUAGUCCUAGCCCUAAACGAUGAAUGCUUGGUGUGGCGGGUAUCGAUCCCUGCCGUGCCGAAGCUAACGCAUUAAGCAUUCCGCCUGGGGAGUACGGUCGCAAGGCUG